rnacentral:sRNA from 1 species
AAGAAUUUUGGGUUAUUACUGCUUCAUUUAUCUCAAAGGUUAUUAAUAUAGUUGGUAGUGUAAAGGAAGUAGAACUCAUACCUACUUUGGAAUGGCUAUCAGAAAGAAGACAUUACUAUUUAUUACGGCAAUUCAAGAUAUUUUCUGAUUUCCGGUGAGGUGAAAAAAAAUGAAACCAAUUCUUUGUAGUUUGAUCCUGUUGAAGGAGCAGUUGCCUGAGUGACAUCUGUGUUCUACUACAGUGUAAUACCAGUAGAAGAUAGUACUAAUUCCUUUAUCUAAAAAAUUUUUAUGGAACACCCCAUUUCCUCUGUAACUUAUGAAGAAAUGCCAAUAAUUUUGGCAUUUAAGAAGCAUUUUUCCUUUCAGAAUUAAUAAAGCAUUUGUUACCUGUAACUUACGAGGAAAUGCCAUAAGUUACAGAGGAAUGGGAUGUUCCAUAAAAUUUCUUUAGAUAAAGAAAGUUUACUCUUUUCAGUAUUAAAACUCUUAAUUUUAGUCUUUUUGGAUAAAUAUUAUAAAAAUAUUUUAUAGUCAAGCAAACUUAAAUACACCCUACAGUUGACUCUGGAACAACGCAAGGGUUAGGGGCCCUGACCCCCUACACAGUUGAAAAUUUGAGUAUAACUUUUGACUCUACCCAAACUUUGCUAUUAAUACUAAUAGUCUACUGUUGACAAGAAGCUUUAUCAGUAACAUAAACAAUCAAUUAACAUAUUUUGUCUAGUAGAUAUAUACUGUAUUCUUACAAUAAAGUAAGUUAGAGGAAAGAAAAA